CGCACAUUGCGCCCUUUGGUAUUCCUUAGGGCAUGCCUGUUCGAGCGUCAUAAAAGCAUUAAGCCUAGCUUAGCGAUGGGCGCCUGUCCUGCUGCCUGCAGUGACUCGCCUUAAAUAUAUUGGCAGCCUGUACUUUGGCUUUGAGCGCAGCAGAGUCCGCGUGUCUUGCCUUAUGCAUGAGCAUCCAGAAGCUCCUCUACAGUUUGACCUCGGAUCAGGUAGGGAUACCCGCUGAACUUAA
rnacentral:misc_RNA from 1 species